rnacentral:lncRNA from 1 species
UGCAUAAAUUCAGGGAAUUGAGCUGCCGAAGGGCACUCAAAAAUAGGAUGAGAUGGGCUAAAGCAGAGAGCACAAACUUGUGCUUGGAAAAAGUUUGGAAGUUGUUCUCUAGACAUUAGCUAGUCCAACUUGCGGGAUAGUGCAUCUACUUUGUCAGAUAGACCUAUGGACUGGCUAAUUUCAUAUAUUGUUCCUUUUCUUUGAGAACUCGGGGGGUGCUUGACGAGCGGAGGAGGCAUGGUGGAGGAAAUUUUCAUUAAGGUUCUCAAACAAUUGCCAUGCCUCAUGGUCACUUUUAAGCAUGAAAGUACCUCCGCAUGCGGCAUCGAUCAUCUGACGGUUUCGUUCAGUCAAUCCGUCAUAGAAACAUUGCAUUAAUUGCCAUUUGGGUAUUUGA